rnacentral:sRNA from 1 species
AGCGCCACGGGAUCGACGGCGCGGGUGACGGUCAAAUAGUCGCGGAUGGCGGUGCCGUGCCGGUCCUC